AACCCUUGUGGAGGAGGACGCCGAAGGUGGGGCUAAUGACUGGGGUGAAGUCGUAACAAGGUAGCCGUACCGGAAGGUGCGGCUGGAUCACCUCCUAACAGGGAGACAACAAAAUGUUUAAUAUUAUUAUUUUGUCACCUUAGGUCGAUCGGUAUCUCACGUUCUUAAUUAAGAAUUUCAUUUCCUAAGUUUUUCUAGGUCACACCCAUUAUUUUCCUGGGCCAUUAGCUCAGGUGGUUAGAGCGCACCCCUGAUAAGGGUGAGGUCCCUGGUUCAAGUCCAGGAUGGCCCAUAUCUCUAUGUUGGGGGUAUAGCUCAGUUGGUAGAGCGCCUGCUUUGCAAGCAGGAUGUCAGCGGUUCGAGUCCGCUUACCUCCACUGAUUACCACCUCUUCCAUAAUUUUUAGAAAGGAAAUGUUUUGAGUUGUGACCAAAAUCUGAACGAAUCUAGCUUCCUAAUGAAAGUAUUAAGAUGCUGGACUCAUUGAAUUAUUUUCAUUGUUUUCAGAGAACCUUGACAACUGCAUAGAUUAUUUUUUAAAGACAAUAAGCAUCUUUAAUGAUGCAGAUUUAUUAUUUGUGCUAAUGCAUUAAAUAACAAUUCUAUUAAGCUGAUGCUUCAAUUUUGAAGUUAUUGGUCAAGCUACAAAGGGCUCACGGAGGAUACCUAGGCACACAGAGGCGA
rnacentral:misc_RNA from 1 species